AACGAACGCUGGCGGCAGGCUUAACACAUGCAAGUCGAGCGCCCCGCAAGGGGAGCGGCAGACGGGUGAGUAACGCGUGGGAAUCUACCCAUCUCUACGGAAUAACGCAUGGAAACGUGUGCUAAUACCGUAUACGUCCUUCGGGAGAAAGAUUUAUCGGAGAUGGAUGAGCCCGCGUUGGAUUAGCUAGUUGGUGGGGUAAAGGCCUACCAAGGCGACGAUCCAUAGCUGGUCUGAGCGGAUGAUCAGCCACACUGGGACUGAGACACUGCCCAGACUACUACGGGAGGCAGCAGUGGGGAAUAUUGGACAAUGGGCGCAAGCCAGAUCCAGCCAUGCCGCGUGAGUGAUGAAGGCCCUAGGGUUGUAAAGCUCUUUCACCGGUGAAGAUAAUGACGGUAACCGGUGAAGAAGCCCCGGCUAACUUCGUGCCAGCAGCCGCGGUAACAC
rnacentral:rRNA from 1 species